UACGGGGGGGGCAAGCGUUGUUCGGAAUUACUGGGCGUAAAGGGUUCGUAGGUGGCUUGCUAAGUCAGACGUGAAAUCCCUCAGCUUAACUGGGGAACUGCGUCUGAUACUGGCGAGCUUGAGUGCAGGAGAGGAACGCAGAAUUCCAGGUGUAGCGGUGAAAUGCGUAGAUAUCUGGAGGAAUACCGGUGGCGAAGGCGGCAUCCUGGACCGGCAUUGACGCUGAGGAGCGAAAGCUAGGGGAGCAAACGGG
rnacentral:rRNA from 1 species